GCCCUGGUGGUGUAGUGGCCUAUCAUAAAGCCCUGUCGAGGCUUUGACCCGGGUUCAAAACAAUCCGAUGAUUGAUGAAAGUCCCGGCCAGGGCG
rnacentral:tRNA from 1 species